AACGAACGCUGGCGGCAUGCCUAACACAUGCAAGUCGAACGAGACCUUCGGGUCUAGUGGCGCACGGGUGCGUAACGCGUGGGAAUCUGCCCUUGGGUUCGGAAUAACAGUGAGAAAUUACUGCUAAUACCGGAUGAUGUCUUCGGACCAAAGAUUUAUCGCCCAGGGAUGAGCCCGCGUAGGAUUAGCUAGUUGGUGGGGUAAUGGCCUACCAAGGCGACGAUCCUUAGCUGGUCUGAGAGGAUGAUCAGCCACACUGGGACUGAGACACGGCCCAGACUCCUACGGGAGGCAGCAGUGGGGAAUAUUGGACAGUGGGCGCAAGCCUGAUCCAGCAAUGCCGCGUGAGUGAUGAAGGCCUUAGGGUUGUAAAGCUCUUUUACCCGGGAUGAUAAUGACAGUACCGGGAGAAUAAGCUCCGGCUAACUCCGUG
rnacentral:rRNA from 1 species